AGACACGGCCCCAGACUCUACGGGAGCACAGUGGGGAAUUUUUCCGCAAAUGGGCGCAAGCCUGACGGAGCAACGCCGCGUGAGCGGAGGAAUGUCUGUGGACUUGUAAACCUCUUUUCUCUGUGAAGAAGAUCUGACGGUAGCAGAGGAAUCAGCAUCGGCUAACUCCGUGCCAGCAGUCCGCGGUAAGACGGAGGAUGCAAGCGUUAUCCGGAAUUAUUGGGCGUAAAGCGUCCGUAGGCGAUCAUUUAAGUCAGUUGUUAAAGACUGCAGCUCAACUGUGGGAGAGCAACUGAAACUGAAUGACUAGAGUAUGGUAGGGGUAGAGGGAAUUCCUAGUGUAGCGGUGAAAUGCGUAGAUAUUAGGAAGGACACCAGUGGCGAAGGCGCUCUACUGGGCCAAGACUGACGCUGAUGGACGAAAGCUAGGGGAGCGAAAGGGAUUAGAUACUCCCUGUAGUCCUAGUCUGUAAACGAUGGAUACUAGGUGUUGUGCGUAUCGACCCGUGCAGUACCGUAGCAAACGCGUUAAGUAUCCCGCCUGGGGAGUACGCACGCAAGUGUGAAACUCAAAGGAAUUGACGG
rnacentral:rRNA from 1 species